GAUGAACGCUGGCGGCGUGCCUAAUACAUGCAAGUCGAGCGAACAGACGAGGAGCUUGCUCCUCUGACGUUAGCGGCGGACGGGUGAGUAACACGUGGAUAACCUACCUAUAAGACUGGGAUAACUUCGGGAAACCGGAGCUAAUACCGGAUAAUAUAUUGAACCGCAUGGUUCAAUAGUGAAAGACGGUUUUGCUGUCACUUAUAGAUGGAUCCGCGCCGCAUUAGCUAGUUGGUAAGGUAACGGCUUACCAAGGCAACGAUGCGUAGCCGACCUGAGAGGGUGAUCGGCCACACUGGAACUGAGACACGGUCCAGACUCCUCGGGAGGCAGCAGUAGGGAAUCUUCCGCAAUGGGCGAAAGCUUGACGGAGCAACGCCGCGUGAGUGAUGAAGGUCUUCGGAUCGUAAAACUCUGUUAUUAGGGAAGAACAAAUGUGUAAGUAACUAUGCACGUCUUGACGGUACCUAAUCAGAAAGCCACGGCUAACUACGUG
rnacentral:rRNA from 1 species